GAUGAACGCUAACAGAAUGCUUAACACAUGCAAGUCUUUGGCGAAGCUGUGCUCGCACAGCCUAGCCAAGGCGGACGGGUGAGUAACGCGUAAGGAACUUGCCCUGCAGUCAGGGAUAACAGACGGAAACGACUGAUAAGACCUGGUAAAGUCAGGCGGACUCAUGUCCAGCCUGAUGAAAAGAGAUGCUGCAGGAGAGCCUUGCGUCCUAUUAGCUUGUUGGUGGGGUAACGGCCCACCAAGGCGAUGAUAGGUAGCCGGCCUGAGAGGGUGGACGGCCACAAGGGGACUGAGAUACGGCCCUUACUCCUACGGGAGGCAGCAGUGGGGAAUAUUGGACAAUGGGGGCAACCCUGAUCCAGCAAUUCUGUGUGCACGAUGAAGGUUUUCGGAUUGUAAAGUGCUUUCAGCAGGGAAGAAAAAAAUGACGGUACCUGCAGAAGAAGCGACGGCUAAAUACGUG
rnacentral:rRNA from 1 species